UACGUAGGGUCCGAGCGUUGUCCGGAAUUACUGGGCGUAAAGAGCUCGUAGGUGGUUUGUCACGUUGUUCGUGAAAACCCACAGCUCAACUGUGGGCGUGCGAGCGAUACGGGCAGGCUAGAGUUCGGUAGGGGAGACUGGAAUUCCUGGUGUAGCGGUGAAAUGCGCAGAUAUCAGGAGGAACACCGGUGGCGAAGGCGGGUCUCUGGGCCGAUACUGACGCUGAGGAGCGAAAGCGUGGGGAGCGAACAGG
rnacentral:rRNA from 1 species